AUUGAACGCUGGCGGCAGGCCUAACACAUGCAAGUCGAACGAGUGGCGGACGGGUGAGUAAUGUCUGGGAAACUGCCCGAUGGAGGGGGAUAACUACUGGAAACGGUAGCUAAUACCGCAUACCAUCGGAUGUGCCCAGAUGGGAUUAGCUUGUAGGUGCGGUAACGGCUCACCUAGGCGACGAUCCCUAGCUGGUCUGAGAGGAUGACCAGACACACUGGAGCUGAGACACGGGCCAGACUCGUACGGGCGGCAGCAGGGGGGAAUAUGGCACAAUGGGCGCAAGCCUGGUGCAGCCAAGCCGCGUGUAGGAAGAAGGCCUUCGGGUUGUAAAGGACUUUCAGCGGGGAGGCGUUACCCGCAGAAGAAGCACCGGCUAACUCCGUGCCAGCAGCCGCGGUAAUAC
rnacentral:rRNA from 1 species